rnacentral:rRNA from 1 species
GCAAGUCGAGCGCUACCUUCGGGUGGAGCGGCGGACGGGUUAGUAACGCGUGGGAAUAUGCCCUUCUCUAAGGAAUAGCCUCUGGAAACGGAGAGUAAUACCUUAUACGCCCUUCGGGGGAAAGAUUUAUCGGAGAAGGAUUAGCCCGCGUUAGAUUAGGUAGUUGGUGGGGUAAUGGCCUACCAAGUCACCGAUCUAUAGCUGGUUUGAGAGGAUGAUC